UCAGAGAUCAAGGUGAUAAGCAGGCUACGUCACUGGAACCUUGUGCAGCUCCUCGGGUGGUGCCAUGGCCACGAGGAGCGCCUGCUGGUCUACGAACUCAUGCCCAACCGCAGCCUCGACAUACAUCUCCAUAGAGGCAAGGGCACCUUCCUCACAUGGCCAACAAGGAUGAAGAUAGUGUUGGACCUUGGGUCUGCAGUGCUCUACCUCCACGAGGGGUUGGAGCAAUGCGUGGUGCAUCGGGAUAUCAAGCCCAACAACGUCAUGUUUGACGAGUCCUUUGGAGCCAAGCUAGGCGGCUUCGGGCUCGCGAGGCUCAUAGACCACGCCAUCAGGAUGCAGUCGCUGACUAGGAUCUCAGGGACUCCACGCUACUUGGAUCCCGAGUGCAUCAUCACCGGCAUGGCUAGUGAUGAGCCCGAUAUGUAUAGCUUCGGUGUCGUACUGCUGGAGGUGGCAUGCGGCAGGAAGCCGAUGAGCAUACACUCCGACACCGACAAGAACAAGAACGGCGCGAUCUUCCGACUGGUCGAGUGGGCCUGGGACUAUGGCCAAGGAGCCAUCAUUGAGGCCGCCGACAAGAAGCUGAACGGCGACUACAAGGCGGCGGAAGUGGAGAGGGUGAUGAUCGUCGGGCUGUGGUGCGCGCACCCGGACCCAAGCGUGCGGCCGUCCAUCAGGGCAGCCAUGGCCAUGCUCCAGUCCAAGGUCGGGGAAGCCAGGAGUCAGCUGCCGGUGCUCCCCACCAAGAUGCCGGUGCCCAUGUAG
rnacentral:rRNA from 1 species